rnacentral:rRNA from 1 species
CCUACGGGGGGCUGCAGUGGGGAAUAUUGGACAAUGGGGGGAACCCUGAUCCAGCCAUGCCGCGUGUGUGAAGAAGGCCCUCGGGUUGUAAAGCACUUUCAGUGAGGAAGAACGCCUGGUGGUUAAUACCCAUCAGGAAAGACAUCACUCUCAGAAGAAGCACCGGCUAACUCCGUGCCAGCAGCCGCGGUAAUACGGAGGGUGCGAGCGUUAAUCGGAAUUACUGGGCGUAAAGCGCGCGUAGGUGGCUUGAUAAGCCGGUUGUGAAAGCCCCGGGCUCAACCUGGGAACGGCAUCCGGAGCUGUCAAGCUAGAGUGCAGGAGAGGAAGGUAGAAUUCCCGGUGUAGCGGUGAAAUGCGUAGGGAUCGGGAGGAAUUCCAGUGGCGAAGGCGGCCUUCUGGACUGACACUGACACUGAGGUGCGAAAGCGUGGGUAGCAAACAGGAUUAGAUACCCUGGUAGUC